rnacentral:lncRNA from 1 species
AGAAGGAACGACAUAGGAAGCGGCGAAGGAGGGAACGCGAUGACGAAGAUGACUGUAACAAUGAUUAUAAGGAGAGGGAGAGUAAAUCGAAUAGGGGAGAGAGUCCUGUUAGGAAAAAGAGUGGUGAAGAUGAGUUGGAGAAGAAAGGGAAGAAAAGUAGGGAAGAGGAAAUGGAAGAUGAGCAGCGUAAAUUGGAUGAGGAGAUGGAGAAAAGGAGGAGGAGGGUUCAAGAAUGGCAGGAGUUGAGGAGGAAGAAGGAAGAAAUGGAGAGGGAGAAACGUGGGGAAGGGA